GUGCUCAUGGUGUAGUGGUUAUCACACCUGUCUAACACACUGAAAGUCCCAGGUUCGACCCCUGGUGAGAACA